rnacentral:rRNA from 1 species
AGAGUUUGAUCCUGGCUCAGAACGAACGCUGGCGGCGUGGAUAAGACAUGCAAGUCGAGCGAGAUUUUUUCCUGUAGCAAUACAGGGAAAAGUCUAGCGGCGAACGGGUGCUUAACACGUGGGCAACCUGCCGAGAAGUGGGGGAUAGCUCGCCGAAAGGCGAAUUAAUACCGCAUGUGAUUAGAGAGGACAUCCUUUCGAAAUCAAAGUCGGGGCAACCUGACGCUUUUUGUGGGGCCCGCGGCCUAUCAGCUAGUUGGUGAGGUAACGGCUCACCAAGGCUUUGACGGGUAGCUGGUCUGAGAGGACGACCAGCCACACUGGGACUGAGACACGGCCCAGACACCUACGGGUGGCAGCAGUCGAGAAUUUUUCUCAAUGGGGGAAACCCUGAAGGAGCGACGCCGCGUGGAGGAUGAAGGUCUUCGGAUUGUAAACUUCUGUCAUUGGGGAACAAGGUGCAUACGUUAACUGCGUGUGCAUUGAUAGUACCCGAAGAGGAAGAGACGGCUAACUCUGUGCCAGCAGCCGCGGUAAUACAGAGGUCUCAAGCGUUGUUCGGAUUCAUUGGGCGUAAAGGGUGCGUAGGCGGCGCGGUAAGUCGGGUGUGAAAUCUUGGAGCUUAACUCCGAAACUGCAUUCGAUACUGCCGUGCUUGAGGACUGGAGAGGAGACUGGAAUUUACGGUGUAGCGGUGAAAUGCGUAGAUAUCGUAAGGAAGACCAGUGGCGAAGGCGGGUCUCUGGACAGUUCCUGACGCUGAGGCACGAAGGCCAGGGGAGCAAACGGGAUUAGAUACCCUAGUAGUCC